rnacentral:lncRNA from 1 species
GAAAAAAAAAAAAGAAAAGGAAUUUGAAAAGUUGAUUAAAAUGAAAUUUUAGUGAAGAAAACUCAGUCUUAAGGGAAAUCUGAAAUGAGAAAAACGUUUUUAUUUGAAGACAGUGCAGUGUAUUUUGGGUUGCAAGCAUAAGUGAUUGCUUGAUGUUUAUUCUUCUUUCCAGAGCUGAAAAAUAAUAUUUUUGAGGAAAACAGCAACUAUUAAUGGAAUGCUACAUUUCUUUUUUUUAUUUAUUAUUUACUGUUGAUUAAAAAAAAUUAAUAGAGAUGGGGUCUCGCCAUGUUACCCAGGCUGGUUUCGAACUCCUAGGCUCAAUCAGUACUCCUGCCUCAGCCUCCCAGAGUGCUGGGAUUUAUAGGUGGGAGCCACCACGCCUGGCCUAGAAUGCUGUGUUUCACAUACGACCCAGAAACAGAGCUUCCAAGGUUUAAAACAUUAGAAAAUGGAAAAACCAUUAUUCUGGAGACCCAAAAAGUACAUCAUAUCAAAAUUAGAACAAAGGACAGUGUUGAUUUGUUUCUUUCGUAUAAUUAGCAAUGCUUCUGUACAGACUUUUUUUAAGUUGAAAUUUUUAUUAAGAUAAUUGUAAUUUCUCAUGCAGUUGUAAAAGGUAAUACAAAGGGAUCUCUUGUAUACUUUGCCCAGUUUCUUCCAAUGGUAGCAGUUUUGGGAAAUUUUUAUAACAUCACAACCAGAAUAUUGACAUCUGGUGUAGUACACCAGCCUUAUUAAAAUUCCCCAGUUUUAUUUUUAUUCAUUUGUGUGUAUAUGAAAUUUGGUACAAUUUUGUCAUUCAUAGGUUCAUGUAUCCACCACCAUAGUCAAUAUACAACAGUUCCAAGGAACAAGGACCCUUCAUGUUCUUUUGUAAUUAUAGCCUCCCGAUAUUUCUACACUCCAAACCUUGGAGCAAAACUGAAUCUCGAAAGAUAAAUGAAGUUUACCAGGAAAAGAAAACUGGGAUGAGGAGAGGAUUUACGAAGUAGCAUAUGCUAAACGAGAGACAUGAGAAAACAUGAUGAUCAGGGAUGUCAUGUAGACUGAAGACUUUGAUACUAAGAGGCAUUUUCACAAUUUUAUCCUGAAAGCAUAGAGAAAACAAAUCAACUUGUCAUUUUCAAAAACUUACCCUGGCUGUAAUCUCAAUAAAAGGACAUCUUUUAAAGUCAAGCUUUAUGAAAAAUUUA